rnacentral:rRNA from 1 species
UCAAGAGGGUUUGAUUAUGGUNCCUNUUGAACGCUGGCGGUAGGCCUAACACAUGCAAGUCGAACCNNAGCACAGUAAGAGCUUGCUCUUACGGGUGGCGAGUGGCGGACGGGUGAGGAAUGCAUCGGAAUCUACUCUGUCGUGGGGGAUAACGUAGGGAAACUUACGCUAAUACCGCAUACGACCUACGGGUGAAAGCAGGGGAUCUUCGGACCUUGCGCGAUUGAAUGAGCCGAUGCCCGAUUAGCUAGUUGGCGGGGUAAGAGCCCACCAAGGCGACGAUCGGUAGCUGGUCUGAGAGGAUGAUCAGCCACACUGGAACUGAGACACGGUCCAGACUCCUACGGGAGGCAGCAGUGGGGAAUAUUGGACAAUGGGCGCAAGCCUGAUCCAGCCAUACCGCGUGGGUGAAGAAGGCCUUCGGGUUGUAAAGCCCUUUUGUUGGGAAAGAAAAGCAUUCGGUUAAUACCCGAUUGUUCUGACGGUACCCAAAGAAUAAGCACCGGCUAACUUCGUGCCAGCAGCCGCGGUAAUACGAAGGGUGCAAGCGUUACUCGGAAUUACUGGGCGUAAAGCGUGCGUACGUGGUUGUUUAAGUCUGUCGNGAAAGCCCUGGGCUCAACCUGGGAAUUGCGAUGGAAACUGGGCGACUAGAGUGUGGCAGAGGGUACUGGAAUUCCUGGUGUAGCAGUGAAAAUGCCNUANAGAUCANGAAGAACAUCCNUGGCGAAGGCGACUGNCCUGGGCCCAACACUGAACACUGAAGGCACCGAAAGCGUGGGGGA